UCAGUACAGAGCAUGAAAAGGUUAAGGAAGAUCGAUUUUGGCCUCACUUCAAAGGCGCUAUUGGUGCUAUAGAUGGAUCACAUGUACCUUGUUCACUUCCUGCAGAGGAUGUGGUUAACCACACAUGUCGCCAUGGUUAUACAUCUCAAAAUGUGCUUGCCAUAUGUGACUUUGACAUGAGAUUUACCUUUGUUGUUGCUGGUUGGCCGGGCUCUGCACAUGACACAAGAAUCCUACAUCAUGCAUUAGCAAAUUUUUCUUCAUUUCCUGUACCUCCUAAAGGAAAGUACUACCUUGUUGAUUCUGGUUAUCCAAACCGAAUUGGAUACCUUGCUCCUUUCAAAGGGAGUACAUACCCCUCCCGGAGUUUCGUCUUUGCCGUGGGCGUGCACUGCAAGGGAAGUAUGAGAUAUUUAAUUUCUUCCAUUCGUCUCUUCGCAAUGUAAUUGAGCGUGCAUUUGGAGUCUUGAACCAAAAGUGGCGUAUAUUGAAGGCAAUGCCAAGUUUCUCAACUCGUACACAGAAGCAUAUCAUUCUUGCUUGCAUAGCAUUGCACAAUUUAUUCGAGAUAGCAAAUUGCGUGACCAGGAGUUCGAUAAAUGUGAUGAAGAUGAGGAUUAUCUACCUGGAGCAGCACGUGCAUCACCACAAACACAAGGGGAUGACGAGCUGGAAGUGAAUAAUGAGGAAUCCAUGGACGACGUUCGGAGUAGGAUCGCCGAUGCUUUGCUUAUGGCGAGGGAGGAAUAGUAUAUCUAUGUUGUUGGAGAAAAUUAUUAUGUGAACCAUGUCUUUUGCUUGCGUUUAUCUUUUCGAAGUAUUUGAGGAUAUUAUUUUAUAUUGAUAUUAUCUAUAAGUAUGGAUCAUUAUGAAGAAAAUACAAAUAUUCUCCCAAAA